GUGGGGAAUAUUGGACAAUGGGCGCAAGCCUGAUCCAGCCAUGCCGCGUGUGUGAAGAAGGCCUUUUGGUUGUAAAGCACUUUAAGCGAGGAGGAGGCUCCUUUAGUUAAUACCUAAAGAGAGUGGACGUUACUCGCAGAAUAAGCACCGGCUAACUCUGUGCCAGCAGCCGCGGUAAUACAGAGGGUGCGAGCGUUAAUCGGAUUUACUGGGCGUAAAGCGUGCGUAGGCGGCUUUUUAAGUCGGAUGUGAAAUCCCCGAGCUUAACUUGGGAAUUGCAUUCGAUACUGGUUGGCUAGAGUAUGGGAGAGGAUGGUAGAAUUCCAGGUGUAGCGGUGAAAUGCGUAGAGAUCUGGAGGAAUACCGAUGGCGAAGGCAGCCAUCUGGCCUAAUACUGACACUGAGGUGCGAAAGCAUGGGGAGCAAACAGGAUUAGAAACCCCGGUAGUCC
rnacentral:rRNA from 1 species